GGUACAAAAAAACAAAACACUUAAACCACUAGUAACAACUAACAACAUAAAAUAUAUAGUUAGUAUUACAGUGCAACCUUAUGCUUAAAUGACUUGAAUUUCAAAUAGGAAAUUUAUAGGGAUAAUAAUGUAAAAAAAAAAGGGUCUUCUUUUGAGUAAUUUAAGGGCAUUUGGGGCCUCCUUCCUUGGUUUUCCAGUUGUUGUAGCAAGGGCAAACUUGUUUGUUCCCAUAAUACCCUGGAGGAACACAAAGGCAUGUCCUGCAACAUUUCUGACAGAAGAACAUGCAUGGUUUAUGGUACUGUGUCUGGCU
rnacentral:lncRNA from 1 species